ACGAACGCUGGCGGCAGGCCUAACACAUGCAAGUCGAGCGAGGACUUCGGUCCUAGCGGCGGACGGGUGAGUAACGCGUGGGAACGUGCCCUUUGCUUCGGAAUAGCCCUGGGAAACUGGGAGUAAUACCGGAUGAGCCCUUUGGGGGAAAGAUUUAUCGGCGAAGGAUCGGCCCGCGUUGGAUUAGGUAGUUGGUGGGGUAAUAGCCUACCAAGCCGACGAUCCAUAGCUGGUUUGAGAGGAUGAUCAGCCACACUGGGACUGAGACACGGCCCAGACUCCUACGGGAGGCAGCAGUGGGGAAUCUUAGACAAUGGGGGAAACCCUGAUCUAGCCAUGCCGCGUGAGCGAUGAAGGCCUUAGGGUUGUAAAGCUCUUUCAGCUGGGAAGAUAAUGACGGUACCAGCAGAAGAAGCCCCGGCUAACUCCGUG
rnacentral:rRNA from 1 species